rnacentral:rRNA from 1 species
GACGAACGCUGGCGGCGUGCCUAAUACAUGCAAGUCGAACGCAGUGGGGACGGGUGAGUAACACGUGGGUAACCUCCCAUCAGAGGGGAUAACACUUGGAAACAGGUGCUAAACCGAUCCUGAUGGAUGGACCCGCGGUGCAUUAGCUAGUUGGCGAGGUAACGGCUCACCAAGGCCACGAUGCAUCGCGGACAAUAGAGGUGGAUCGGCCAUACUGGAACUUAGACACGGCCCAGACUCCUACGAGAGGCAGCAGUAGGGAAUCUACGGCAAUGGACAAAAGUCUGACCGAGCAACGCCGCGUGAGUGAAGAAGGUUUUCGGAUCGUAAAACUCUGUUGUGAGAGAAGCGGUAUCUAACCAGAAAGCCACGGCUAACUACGUGCCAGCAGCCGCGGUAAUUC